rnacentral:misc_RNA from 1 species
GAUGAAGAACGCAGCGAAAUGCGAUAAGUAAUGUGAAUUGCAGAAUUCAGUGAAUCAUCGAAUCUUUGAACGCACCUUGCGCCCUUUGGACAUUCCGAAGGGCAUGCCUGUUUGAGUAUCAUGAACACCUCAACUCUCACGGCUUGUCCGUGAUGAGCUUGGACUUUGGGGGUCUUGCCGGCCUGUGGUCGGCUCCUCUCAAAUGGAUCAGCUUGCCAGUGUUUGGUGGCAUCACAGGUGUGAUAACUAUCUGCGCUUGUGGUUUUCCAUCAGAUAACCUUCAGUGAUAUGGAGGUUCGCUGGAGCUCACAAAUGUCUCUCCUUAGUGAGGCCAGCUCUUUGAACGUUUGAUCUCAAAUCAGGUAGGACUACCCGCUGAACUUAAGCAUAUCAAUAAGCGGAGGA